rnacentral:sRNA from 1 species
GGAUCACCGCUUCAUCACGCCGGGUACCGGGCUGGUAACAAUACACCGUCCUGCUCAGCGAUAACGUCCUGCAUGCCUGGCGUAUGCUCAUCGUAAACUGCGCGGUCAGAUAGUUGACGAGCUCACGCUUUAUCGCUGGUUUU